CUCUUACUCCCUCCGUUCGGAAUUACUUGUCUCAGAAAUGGAUGUAUCUAGAACUAAAAUACGUCUAGAUACAUCCAUUUCUGCGACAAGUAAUUUCGAACGAAGGGAGUAUUAU
rnacentral:pre_miRNA from 1 species